UAUAUUUAAAAACCUAAAUAAUCUCUCUUUCAUCUCACACCCCUCAAAUUUCGCUCUCUCUUCAAAUCACUAGACACCAUCGCCGACCACCAUCUUGACACCAUCGCCAACCACCACCUUCUCCAAAAUUGAAGCCCUAAUCAACUCAUCACUCUCAUCUCCGGUUCCAAAUCGAUUCAAUGACACACACACACACAGAGAGAGAGAGAGAGAGGGAGAGAGAGAGAGAGAUAUGGGGAGGGGGGGGGAGUAAAGAUGAAUAGAUCUGGGGACUUGCAGAUAACAUGAGUAUACGACUUCAUUGUAUCUGGUGCAAAAUCGAAUCCCUUUCCAGAUCUAAGCAUGUUGGUGAGUGGUGAGGGCGGACGGAGAUGAUGGUGGGGGUUGAGAGGCAGUGAGGACGACCAUCACGAGUGAGAGAAAGAGAGAGAAGAAACAUAGUGUGGUGGGGGUUGGGUGGUUUCGGUGGUCGUAGGAGGUGGUUUCGGUGGUCAUAGCAAGUGGCUGCGGUGGCAGGGGAAAGGGGAGGGGUGGUAGUUAUAGGAUGUGGGUUCCGGUGAGGUGGUGCCAGAAGUGAUGGUUGGGCCAUCCACACAGUCAACCCCCUCAACUGAUCGUAUAUCCAACCUGUAAACACCAUAUCUAUUUGUUGUUCUCUUGACUGAGAAACUAAUAUGCUCACUAGUAUUUGGUGCAUUGGCUUGAAAUUUACAUUGUAAGUAAACAUUCAUACCUUCUU
rnacentral:lncRNA from 1 species